rnacentral:lncRNA from 1 species
UAUAUAUCAAAUAUGACUACAAAUGCAUGUGAUGUGUGUACCAAAUAUUGGGUAUAUCAUUGUGAGCUUUGCAGCUAUGCUCUCCAUAUCAGCUGCGCCUUCAACAAGUCGCCCCACGCCACUAGGUACGCUAUAAUUUAUUUAUUUUCGUAUUUAACCAUUUAAUUUAAUUACUAAUUGGAAGUUUAUAAUUUUAUUAUAAAUUUAGAACAACAAACUCUAUCAAUUAAAAACUAUAACGAACUUACAUACAUGGCUGAAGAAAUUCCAAAUAAUUAGGGGACGGACUUUUUUUUUAUUAUUAUUAUUAGUAUUAUUAUUUAUUAUUAUUAUUUUUUUUACGAGUUAAUUAUAAAAAUUAUUAUGUUGACAAAUUAUAACAAAAAGUGCUGAUGGCUUGGUGGAUAAGUACUUUGAAAAUUGAAAGUUAGAACCUAAGUUAUGAGGUGCAAAUUAGUAUUUUGGCGUUAUUUAGGUUACCUGUGUAAUUGAUCCGUAUGAUCGGGCCUAUUAUACGGGUAACCAAAUCCAUUUGGUUUCGGGUAAAUACUUAGAGGGUGUUUGCCUAAGCUUAUUUAAGAGAACUUACAAUAAUUUGUAAGAUGUUUUCAAGAGUUUAUAAAUUAUCAAAGUGUUUUGAUAAUUGAGGUCAUAAGAAAUUCCUGUUAAAGUGAAAAAAUUGAAGAGAAAAUAUUGUUGCUUAUAAGAUUAUGAAAAUUUUUGUUAAGGUUGAAACUUUUAUUUUUUAAGGAGCGUAUAAGUUGUUAGAGCUUAUUUUUAAUGGAGUUGUUUUAAGGAGUUUAUAAGAUUAACCAAAGACCUCCUUUAAUCAUAUUAUAAAGAUUUGUUAAUUAGUGUUUUUGUUGCAUGUAGAGAAAAGAAAGAUGAUGAGAAAGGGAUUAUGGAAUUCCCAAUAAGUGAUGUAGGUGAGGAGCUAAUUGGAGGUUUUCUAAAGAGACAAGGAUGAGCUAUAUCAGUACCACCCAUCCCUCAUCAUGACGUCGAUUAUAAGUUCCACAAUCACAAACUCAGAUUAGUCUCAUCAUCAUCUUUAUAUCAAGAAGAAGAAAAUAGUGAUGAUGAUGGAGAAGAUAAAAAAUCGAAAUUAAUAUGUGAUGGGUGCAUUACUCCUAUAUUCGGCUGGAAACAGAGACCAACUUCAUCAUCAUCUUCUUCAAGUAGUAA